GAUGAACGCUGGCGGCGUGCCUAAUACAUGCAAGUCGAGCGAACGGACGAGAAGCUUGCUUCUCUGAUGUUAGCGGCGGACGGGUGAGUAACACGUGGAUAACCUACCUAUAAGACUGGGAUAACUUCGGGAAACCGGAGCUAAUACCGGAUGAUAUUUUGAACCGCAUGGUUCAAAAGUGAAAGACGGUCUUGCUGUCACUUAUAGAUGGAUCCGCGCUGCAUUAGCUAGUUGGUAAGGUAACGGCUUACCAAGGCAACGAUGCAUAGCCGACCUGAGAGGGUGAUCGGCCACACUGGAACUGAGACACGGUCCAGACUCCUACGGGAGGCAGCAGUAGGGAAUCUUCCGCAAUGGGCGAAAGCCUGACGGAGCAACGCCGCGUGAGUGAUGAAGGUCUUCGGAUCGUAAAACUCUGUUAUUAGGGAAGAACAUAUGUGUAAGUAACUGUGCACAUCUUGACGGUACCUAAUCAGAAAGCCACGGUUAACUACGUG
rnacentral:rRNA from 1 species